GACGAAUUAAUUAGACUUAAAAGAUUUAUCUCGCGGUUUUUAGGUGAGCCAUAAAACUUUUUUCUUUCAUGUGUUUAAACAUCUUCCAACAUAAUUUUUUUUUUAUUUUUCGGACUAAACACCUCCUAAAAUGAUGCUUCACAAAUGGUGUCAGAAUUGCAUGGAUAAGUACAAGAUAGCUCCAUAGCGCUCUACGACGGCGUCGCUUCUUCCUUCCGGCCGGCCGGCCACCAUGUCGUCGUCGUCGGCGGCGGCGGCGCCAGCGCCAGCCCACGCCGUGUUCUUCCCGUUCCCGGUGCAGGGCCACGUCGCUCUGGCGCUGCACCUGGCUAAGCUCCUCCACGCCAGGGA
rnacentral:lncRNA from 1 species